rnacentral:rRNA from 1 species
UAGGAAUCUUCCACAAUGGACGCAAGUCUGAUGGAGCAACGCCGCGUGAGUGAAGAAGGCUUUCGGGUCGUAAAACUCUGUUAUUGAAGAAGAACGUGUGUGACAGUAACUGGUCAUGCAGUGACGGUAUUCAAUCAGAAAGUCACGGCUAACUACGUGCCAGCAGCCGCGGUAAUACGUAGGUGGCAAGCGUUGUCCGGAUUUAUUGGGCGUAAAGCGAGUGCAGGCGGUCUUUUAAGUCUGAUGUGAAAGCCUUCGGCUUAACCGAAGAAGGGCAUCGGAAACUGGGAGACUUGAGUGCAGAAGAGGAGAGUGGAACUCCAUGUGUAGCGGUGAAAUGCGUAGAUAUAUGGAAGAACACCAGUGGCGAAGGCGGCUCUCUGGUCUGUAACUGACGCUGAGGCUCGAAAGCGUGGGUAGCAAACAGGAUUAGAUACCCUGGU